GAUGAACGCUGGCGGCGUGCCUAAUACAUGCAAGUAGAACGCUGAAGGAGGAGCUUGCUCUUCUGGAUGAGUUGCGAACGGGUGAGUAACGCGUAGGUAACCUGCCUGGUAGCGGGGGAUAACUAUUGGAAACGAUAGCUAAUACCGCAUGACAACAGUUAUUGCAUGAUAACUGUUUAAAAGGGGCAACUGCUCCACUACCAGAUGGACCUGCGUUGUAUUAGCUAGUUGGUGAGGUAACGGCUCACCAAGGCGACGAUACAUAGCCGACCUGAGAGGGUGAUCGGCCACACUGGGACUGCGACACGGCCCAGACUCCUACGGGAGGCAGCAGUAGGGAAUCUUCGGCAAUGGACGGAAGUCUGACCGAGCAACGCCGCGUGAGUGAAGAAGGGUUUCGGAUCGUAAAGCUCUGUUGUAAGAGAAGAACGAGUGUGAGAGUGGAAAGUUCACACUGUGACGGUAUCUUACCAGAAAGGGACGGCUAACUACGUG
rnacentral:rRNA from 1 species